GAAGUCCGUUGGGGGUGGCCGCAAGGCCUGAGAUGAUACCCCUGGAACCUGAUCUGGGUGAUGCCAGCGGAGGGAAACGGUUGGUGGCGAGA
rnacentral:ncRNA from 2 species